UACGUAGGGUGCGAGCGUUAAUCGGAAUUACUGGGCGUAAAGCGUGCGCAGGCGGUGAGCUGUGUCCGAUGUGAAAGCCCCCGGGCUUAACCUGGGAAUGGCAUUGGAAACUGGCUCGCUGGAGUGUGGCAGAAGGGGGUGGAAUUCCGCGUGUAGCAGUGAAAUGCGUAGAGAUGCGGAGGAACACCGAUGGCGAAGGCAGCCCCCUGGGCUAACACUGACGCUCAGGCACGAAAGCGUGGGGAGCAAACAGG
rnacentral:rRNA from 1 species